rnacentral:misc_RNA from 1 species
GUUGUUCAUGGCAUUGAUGUUUUUGAUCCCAAAUUCAAUAUUGUCUCCCCUGGUGCUGACAUGAGCAUAUACUUCCCCUACACUGAGGAGAAACUAAGGUUGACCUCUUUCCAUCCAGAAAUCGAGGAGCUUCUCUACAGCCCUGUUGAGAAUGAAGAACACUUAUGUGUGCUAAAAGAUCGCAACAAGCCAAUUAAAUUCUUAACUCUGUCCAGCCUUGCC